rnacentral:lncRNA from 1 species
AAUGAGAUAAGUAAAGUAACCCAAAAAAAUCAUUAUGUGUCUACUAGCAUAACUUCCAAGACCUGGUGUCACAAGUGUAUGAGCUACUAGUAGAAUAUACAAAAGAAUACUACACUACUGUCUGAAGUGAAAUCAGAUUAUCAAAGCAAAGAAAGACUUCGGCUGCUACAGAACGGCUAGGAAGGCAGCUCACCGCAAAAUCUCGUAGACUCAAGGAUGCGCGCCAGAUUGAUAUCCAGAUGCACCUACCUCAGACCCUACACAUUUAGUGCUGAAGUGUAGCGUGAGUACAUAAACAACAUGUACCCAGUAAGUAUCUAGUCUAAACUUGAAGAAGUAGUGAUGAGCAGUCGACUUCGACACUUACUAUGGGCUAACAAUAAAAUACUGAAAUUUUUAACUAAGCAUGUACUAUAUAAAUACAGCUGAAACUUCAAUAACAAGAAAUAAAUGAACAAUUCUUUCACUAAUAGUAAAUCCCAAAUUAAUUUCCAUCAUUUAACAAAUUAAUCUCUCAAGCCAACUGAACAAUAUCAAUUAUAAUUGGGUUCCAAGGUUUAUCAUGCACAAAUUAUGCCGAGGUCGUACGACCCAAUCCAACAUACAAAUAUAUAAAAUGUGCACUACCGAGGGUCAAACGGCACGAACCAUAAAUGUAUCUAUUAACCUACAGAGGCGAACGGCCCGCUCCCAUGAGAGUAGUGGAAAUUUAUUUUUACCUCGCUCGCGGAAUAAUAUUUGCGAUGCGAGUAAACAUAGAUUUCUCAAAGUUAUCAUAAUAUUCUUCAAUUCUUUCCAAAAACAAGGAAUCCAAAGUGGAAACCUUAAAUAUUGAAAUCCUCAAUCUCAGCUCUUAUCCAAUGCAACUAAAAUGCAUGAUCAAAUAACGGUGUCAACAAAGCAUGAUGUAGACCUAAGACUACCCGAACAUCACUUGGAAUGUAGCUGCGCAUGGACUCUCGUCACCUAGUGGGUACGUAGCUCCCCACACAAAUAAUUUACAACAAAACACGUAUAAGGGGAUGAGUUCACUCUUACAAGGUUAGAAAAGAGACUUACCUCGUCUCAAAGCUUACUCUCCGAUCCACAAUUGUGCUUCAAAACCUCAAUUCGGUGCCAAACGACUUGAAACUAGUCAAAUUUUAUAUAAAACAGUCAAUACAUGUUAAAAAGUUCAUAUUCUAACUACAAAAGUGAUUUCCCAACCCUAAUUAAAGAAAUUCCUAAAAUUCACCCCCGGGCCCACGUGCUCGGAUUCCGAAAAUCUUUGAAGAAAGUUGUUACCCAUUACCUCAUGAACUCAAAUAUAUAAUUUUCACUAAAUUUCAUAACCAUUUUCGAGGUUAAAUAACAUUUUUAUCAUAAACCUAGGUUUUUCAUCUAAACCCAUGAUUUCCACAAAUAUACAUGUUACAAUCUACCCAUAAUCUAUGUAUGAAACUCACAUUAGGUAGAAAUUAAUUUCCUUCAAUAGCUAGGUUGAAAUCCCCCUUUUUUGAAGCUCUAAAAUCGCCCAAGUGUGCAAUAAAUGCACACAAAAUAGCCUAAGUCGCGUUUUAAAUGAACCACAUUGCCUUCAGCGUUUUGCACCUGCGGUCGCUGGGCCGCAUCUGCGGCAUCGCUUCUGUAGACCAAGGUUCGCUUUUGUAGAGGUGCCUAAGGCUGGCUGGUUUUGUUUCUGCGGGCGGUAGACUGCUUCGGCGGUUCCGCUUCUGCGGCGAGCUUGACGCACUUGCGACUCCCUCUUUGCACAUGUGCAUCCGCAGUUGCGGUCACCUUGCCGCAUCUGCGAACACUGGGCAGCCUGGUAUGCGCCACUUCUGCGGUCUAUGGCUAUCUCCUGCGAACUCGUACCUGUGGCUAGCCCUCGCAGGUGUGAUUACACUAGAAACCUGGUGCUUCAGCUCUUCUUCUAAGUCCUCGAAGCCCCGCCCAAACAUUCCAACAAGUUUGAAAUCAUAAAACGAACUCGCUCGAACCCUCAGAAUGUGUAAAACAACAUCAAAAGUAAGAAUCACACCCUAAACCAAUUCGAAUCGACUUAUGUACUUCAAGUUCUUUCAACUUACUACGAAUGCGCCGAAACAUACUUAGACUACUCGGCACGGCACCAAAUUUUGUGUCUUAAAUGACCAUACAAAACUAUUCCCAGUCUCGAAAAUCCAAUUGGACCUCGAUAACACCAAAUCAUACUUCAAAAAAAUUUAUAGAACUUUAAAACCUUCAAAGAGUCAACUUUCACUAUUAGGCACCGAAACGCUCCAGGGUCGUCCAAAACCCGAUCCGAACAUACGCCCAAGUCUUAAAUCAUCAUACGAACCUAUUGGAACUAUCAAAUCCCGAUUCUGAGGUCGUUUACUUAAAACAUUGACCGAAGUCAAACUUAGUCUCUUAAAACCAAACCAUGGAUUCAAGUGUUCCGAUUUUAACCCGAACCCUUCCAAAUCCCAAACAACCAUCUCCGCAAGUCAUAAAAUAGUAAAAGCAUAUACGGGGAGUCUUACUUAGGGGAACGGGGUUCUAGAAACAAAAUAUCUGGUCGGGUCGUUACAUUCUCCACCUCUUAAACAAGCGUUCGUCCUCGGACGGGUCUAUAAUCAUACCUGGAGUGCUAAAUAAGUGUGGAUAGCUGCUCCGCAUGUCCUCCUCGGACUCCCAAGUCAGCUCCUCAAUUGGUUAACCUCUCCACUGAACCUUUACCAUGGAAAUCCUCUUAGACCUCAAUUUUAGAACCUGCCUAUGAACAAUGGGAACCAGCUCCUCCUCUUAACCCAGGCUCUCAUCUAACUGAAUCGUACUGAAGUCUAACACAUGUGAUAUGUCGGCAUAAUACCUCGGAGCAUGGACACGUGGAAAACCGGAUGAAAUCCUGAUAGACUGGGAGGCAAUGCAAGAUCAUAAGCAACCUCCCCAACUUGUCUCAACACCUUAAAUGGGCCUAUAAACCUUUAGCUCAACUUGCCAUUCUUCUCAAGCCUCAUGAUCCCCUUCAUCGGCGAGACUUUCAAGAGAACCUUCUCGCCCACCAUAAAUGAUAAAUUAUGCACCUUCUGAUCUGCGUAACUCUUAUGUUUGGACUGUGAUGUGCGAAUCACUCCUGAAUCAAUUUGACCUUUUCCAAGGAAUCCUUUACCAAAUCAGUACCAUAUAACUUAGCCUCGUCGGGCGCAAAUCAUCCGAUGGGAGAAAGACAUCGCUGACCAUAUAAAGCCUCAAAUAGAGCCAUCUCGAUGCUGGACUAAUAACUGUUGUUGUAAGCAAACUCGGCCAAAGGAAAGAAACAAUCCUACUGCUCACCAAAGUCAAUAACACACGCUCUGAGCAUGUCCUUUAAGAUCUGAACUGUCUGCUCCGACUGCCCAUCGGUCUGUGGCUGAAAUGUUGUGUUGAGCUCUACCUGGGUCCCCAACUCACUAUGUACUGCACUCUAGAAAUGUGAUGUAAAUUGAGGUCCUCUAUCUGAUAUGAUGGAAACAGGCACACGAUGCAAACGAACUAUCUCCUAAAUAUAAAUCUAGGUUAACCUCUCUGAAGUAUACGUGGUCACAACCGGAAUGAAGUGUGCCGACUUUGUCAGCGUGUCGACAAUGACCUACACUAUAUCAAACUUCGGCAAGGUCCGUGACAACCCAUCUACGAAGUCUAUAGUAAUACGCUCCCACUUCCACUCAUGCUUAGUCAUCCGCUGGAGUAGGCCACUUGGCCUCUCGUGCUCAUACUUAACCUGCUGGCAAUUUAGACACCUCGCAACAUACUCAACUAUGUCCUUUUCAUCCUCCACCACCAAUAAUGCUUCCUCAGGUCAUGAUACAAAUUUGUAGCACCUGGAUGAAUAGAAUAACGAGAAUUGUGUGCCACCUAUAGAAUUCUCUCCCUCAAGCCAUCGACAUUAUGAACACAUAGGAGACCUUGGGGUCGUAGAACACCAUCCUCGCCGAUAGUAACCUCCUUGGAACCACCCUGAAGUAUCGUCUCUUUGAUAACCAACAAGUGCAGAUCAUCAAACUGGCGAGCCUUGAUCUGCUCAAAUAGUGAAGACAGGGCAACAACACAUGCAAGAACUCGGUUGGGCUCUAAAAUAUCCAACCUCUCAACUCUGUUAGCCAAGGACUGAAUAUCCAAAGUUAAGGGCCUCUCCUCUACUGAAAUGAAUACCAAGCUACCGAUACUCCCUUCCUUUCUGCUCAACGCAUCCGCAACUACAUUCACUUUACUCGGAUGGGUGAUAUCAUAAUCCUUCAGUAACUCAAGCCACCUACACUGCCUCAAAUUGAGAUCCCUCUGCUUGAAUAAAUUCUUCAAGCUAUGAUGAUCGGUGUAAACCUCACAGGACACCCUAUAAAGAUAAUGCCUCUAGAUCUUAAGAGCAUGAACAAUCGUGGCCAACUCUAAAUCAUGUACAGGGUAAUUCUUCUCAUGGGACUUCAGCUGACGUGAAGCAUAUGCAAUAAAUCACCCCUGCAUCAAUACACAACCCAAACCAACUCAUGAUGUGUCGCAAUACACAGUAUACAUCUCUGAACCAGAAGGAAGCACUAGAACCGGUGCCAUAGUCAAAGCUAUCUUGAGCUUUUGAAAGUUCGCCUCACAAUCAUCGGAGCAACGGAUUUGAGCACCCUUCUAAGACAGUCUAGUCAAAGGUAGUGCAAUGGAUGAUAAGCCCUCGACAAACCGGCGAUAAUAACCUGCAAACCCUAAGAAGCUCCCGAUCUCAGUCGCCGUGGUAGGACGAGGCCAACUGUGAACUGCCUCAAACAUUUUGGGAUCAAACUUAAUACCCUUGCCUGAUACAACAUGCCCCAAGAAUGCUACAGAGUCUAGCCAAAACUCACACUUGGAGAACUUAGCAUAUAGCUUCUGUUCCCGAAAUGUCUGAAGCACCACUCUCAAAUGCUGCUCGUGCUCCUCUAUGCUGUGCGAGUAGAUCAAAAUGUCAUCAAUGAAGACAAUGACGAACAAAUCAAUAUAUGGCAUAAACACCCUGUUCAUCAAAUCCAUAAAUGUCGUUGGGGCAUUAGUCAGGCCGAAGGACAUCACUAGAUAAUCAGAAUGGCCAUCUUUAGUCCGGAAACCAGUCUUCGGAAAAUCCGAAUCCAGAACCUUUAACUGAUGGUACCCCGAUAUCAAGUCGAUCUUAGAGAACACCCUGGCACCCUGUAAAUGGUCAAAGAAAUCAUCAAUCUGCAGCAACGGCUACAUAUUCUUAAUGGUAACUUUGUUCCCCUGGCAGUAAUCAAUGCACAUCUGCAUAGUCCCAUCUUUCUUCUUCACAAAUAACACUAGUGCACCACAAUGCGAUACACUCGGCCUGACGAACCCCUUUGCUAGCAACUCCUCAAGUUGUUCCUUCAACUCCUUGAACUCUUUCGGAGCCAUACGGUACGGUGGGAUAGAUGUAGGCUAGGUACCUAGAGCCAAAUCAAUGCAGAAAUCGAUAUCACGAUCUGGUGGCAUACCUGGAAGGUCAAAAGGAAACACAUCUGAGAACUCCCAGACUACGGGUACUAAAUCGAUCGCUAGAGUCUCUGCUCCCGAUCAUAGGCUAGAUAAGCCAAAUAACCCUUCUCGACCAUGUGUUGAGCCUUAAUAAAAAUGAUGAUCCAACUAGGUGUGCUAACAAACGAACCCUUCCACUCCAAUCUAGGCAACUCUGGCAUCGCCAAGGUAACAAUCUUGGCAUGGCAAUCAAGGAUAGCGUGAUAUGGAGAUAACUAGUCCAUGCGCAGGAUAACCUCAAAGUCAGUCAUAUCAAGAAGCAGAAGAUCCGCUCAGGUCUCAUGACCACAGAAUGUAACAAUGCAUGACCGAUAGACCCGAUCCACAACAACAUAAUCGCCUACUAGAGUGGACACAUAAAUAGAAGUACCCAAGGACUCACGAGGAAUAUCUAGUAAAUGAGCAAACAAAGAUGACACAUAUUAAUAGGUAUACCCUGGAUCGAAUAAUACCGAAGACAGAAAUAAUACCUAUGAUCACAACAUCUAAGGAAACUAUAUCUGGUCUGGCCAGAAAAGCAUAAAUUCUAGUUAGAGCACCACCUGACUGGUAUCCACAUGCCUGGCCUCCACCUCAAGGACGACCCCUACCCACCUGCCCUCCACCUCUGGGCGGCCGGACGGCUGGUGCGGCAACUAGUGUUGUAAUCAUAGGAUGAGAACCAUGUUGUACUGCCUUUCCCCGAAGUCUGGGGCAAAACCUCUUCAUGUGGCCAGUAUUCCCGCACUCGUAGCAACCCCUCAAAGAGGUUGACUAUUGCCAUGAAGUAUAACCCUGAUGGCCCGAAUACCCACUGGAGGAACCCUGAAUAGCUGGUGGGUGGUAGGAAAUAUCUUGCAUGGUGCUUAAAUAAGGUCGAACUAGAGCACUCCAAGGCGGCGGCGGUGAUGGAUACGUAGGCAUGCUAGACUGACCUCUCUCAAACUGACCGCUUCCCCCGAACAUAGCACCACUAAACCCUCCAGAAUAACAAAACUGCUUGUCCCGUGACAUCUGCGCUUGGCCUCGCUGAUGAUAACCCUCAAUCCUCCAAGCUAUCUCCAUAACUAGCUGGUAAGAGGUCCCCAUCUCAACCUCUCGGGCUAUAGUGACCUGAAUACCGGAGUGCAACCCUGCAAAAAACCUCUGUACUCUCUCUACCUCCAUAGGAAGUAUCAUAAGUGCAUGGCGAGACAACUCAGAGAAUCUCGCCUCAUAAUCGGUCACUGUCAUCUGACCCCGCUGGAGCUGCUCAAACUUAAACCGCAACUCUUCUAUCUGGGAGGGUGGAAUACACCUAUCCAAUAAAAGACGUGUAAACAGAUCCCAAGUCAAGGGAGGUGAACCUACUGGUCUGCCAAGAAAAUAAGACUGCCACCAUCUACGGGCCCUGCCCUCCAAUUGAAAAGUAGUAAAAUCCACCCCAUAGGUCUCUAAUAUCCUCAUGUUGUGUAGUCUGUCCCUGCAUCAAUCGAUGAAGUCUUGGGGAUCCUCUUGUCACUCACCUCCGAAGAUAAGAGGGUGUAGCUUAGUCCAUCUGUCCAGUAGCUUCUGCGGCUCGAUGACCAUAGUUGGUCUGGGCUCAGGUACGGCUGCUGCCACUGGCUGGGCUUCGCCCACGGGUAGUGUGCUUGGGGUCAAGUAUACCGCGGCUGCAUGCCAAGGAGCCUGAGCAGUAGGGGUCUAUGCUCCCCCUUCAGCCUGAGAUGUGGGUGGGUCUGCUGAAAAUAAACUGGCUUGGGUCAUUGUUUCCAUGAACCGUAGCAUUUGGCCCAUCACCUCCAGGAAGUCCAGUGCUGACAUAAAAUCUACUGGAGUUGGCUCUACUGUAAGCACCUCGCCCUGCUCCACAAUGAUGGGAUCCUCUACCGGAUCCAUUAGUGGCAUGGUUGGGGCAACUCUGGGACGUCCUCGUCCCCUACCUCGGGCGGGUUCCCUCCCACGGCCUCUGCCUCGGCCUCUAGAAACAUGGGGAGCAUCUCCUUCCGAGUCUGGAACAUCCUCCGUGUGCUUUCUCACCAUCUGUGAGAGAAUAAGAGAAAGAUACUUAGUAUAAUAUCAACUGUACGAUAGAAGAUGAAGAAAGAGUGGUUUCCUAAUACCCAAUAGCCUCUCGAAGAUAAGUACAGCUGUCUCUGCACCGAUCCACAAGACUUUAUUAGGUCAUGAUGGCGCCCGACAUUGCUGCUAGGCAAACCAAUAGUAAACUAACCACAUGAUUGUUUCUUAUAACAUAUUUAGAAUAGCUGAUCUUUUAUGAAAGCAUGAAUACAACGUAAAAGUCUAAUAAGAUGAUAGAAAAAUAAUUUUUUUUAGAGAAAAUGAGAUAAGUAAAGUAACACAAAAAAUCAUCAUGUGUCUACUAGUAUAACUUCCAAGACCUGGUGUCACUAGUGUACUAUCUACUAGCAGAAUAUACAAAAGAAUACUAUACUACUUUCUAAAAUGAAGUAGGCAGAUAAUAAUAACAAAGAAAGACUUCGGCUACUGCAGAACGACUCAGAAGGUAGCUCACCGCAAAGUCUCGUAGAAUCAAGGAUGUGCGCCGGACUGAUAUCAAGAUGCACUUGCCUCAGACCCUGCAUAUCUAGUGAAGAAGUGUAGCGUGAGUACAUAAACAACAUGUACCCAGUAAGUCUAUUGUCUAACCUCGAAAAAGCAGUGACAAGGGGUCGACUUCGACACUUACUAUGGGCUAACAAUAAAAUACUGAAAUUUAUAACUAAGAAUGGACUAUAUAAAUACAGUUGAAAACUCAAUAACAAGAAAUAAAUGAACAAUUCUUUCACUAAUAGCAAAUCCCAAAUUAAUUUCCAUCAUUUACCAAAUUAAUCUCUCAAGCCAAUGGAACAAUAUCAAUUAUAAUUGGGCUCCAAGGUUUGUCAUGCACGAAUUAUGCCGAGGUCGUAUGGCCCGAUCCAACAUACAAAUAUAUAAACUAUGCAUUGUCGAGGGUCAAACGACACGAACCAUAGAUGCAUCUAUUAACUUGUAGAGGCAAACGGCCCGCUCCCAUGAGAGCAGUGGAAAUUUUUACCUUGCUCGCUGAAACAUACUUGUGACGCGAGUAAACAUAGAUUUCUCAAAGUUAUCAUAAUAUUCUUCAAUUCUUUCCAAAAAGAAGGAAUCCAAACUGGAAAUUUUAAAUCUUGAAAUCCUCAAUCUUAGCUCUUAUUCAAUGCAACUAAAAAGCAUGAUCAAAUAACGGUGUCAACAAAUCAUGAUGUAAACCUAAGACUACCCGGACAUCACUUAGAAUGUAGCUGCGCACGAACACUCAUCACCUAGUGCGUACGUAGCUCCCCAGACAAAUAAUUUUCAACAAAACACACCUAAGGGUAUGAGUUCCCUCUUAUAAGGUUAGAAAAGAGACUUACAUCAUCUCCAAGCUUACUCUCUGGUCCACAAUUAUGUUUUAAACCCUCAACUCUGUGCGAAACGACUCGAAACUAGUGAAAAGAGACUUACAUCGUCUCCAAAUAUAUACUUUUCACUAAAUUCCAUAACCAUUUACAUGUUAACAUCUAGCCAUAAUCUAUGUAUUAAACUCACAUUAGGUAGAAAUUACUUACCUUCAAUACCUAGGUUGAAAUCCCCCUUUUUGAAGCUCUAAAAUCGCCCAAGUGUGCAAUAAAUGCACUCAAAAUAGUCCAAGUCCCGUUUUAAAAGAACCACACUGCCUUCAGCGAUUUCGUACCUAUGGUCGCUAGGCCACAUCUAGGUCAUCCCUUCUACCCACUAAGUUCCGCUUCCACGGAGGUGCCUGAGGGUGGCUGGUUUUGCUUCUACGGGUAGGACACCGCUUCUGCGGCGAGCUUGACACACUUUCGACCCAUUUCGCUACUACGACUCCCCUCUUCGCACCUGCGCAUCCGCAGGUGCGAUCACCUUGCCAUUUCUGUGAACACUAGGCUGCGCCUCUUCUACAGUCCAUGUCCUUCUUAUCUGAGCUCGCACCUGCGGCUACUCCUCCGUAUGUGCGAUUACACCAGAAACCUGGUGCUUCAGCUCUUCUUCCAAGUUCAAACUGGGUCCGUGCAUAGUCUGAUUGACACUCGAGGCCCCGCCCAAACAUACCUACAAGUUUGAAAUUAUAAAACAAACUCGCUCAAACCCUCAUAAUGCGUAAAACAACAUCAAAACUAAGAAUCACACCCUAAACUAAUUCGAAUCAACUUAUGAACUUCAAGUUCUUCCAACUUACUCUGAAUGCGCAGAAACAUAAUUAGUCUACUCAGAACGACACCAAAUUUUGCGUGAAAGUCUUAAAUCACCAUACGGAUCUAUUCCCGGUCUUUGAAUUCUAAUUAGACCUCGAUAAUGCCAAAUCCUACUUCAAACCAAAUUUAUAGAUCUUUAAAAUCUUCAACGAAUCAACUUUCACUAUUAGGCGCCGAAACGCUCCCAUGUUGUCCAAAACCCGAUUCGAAUAUAUGCCCAAGUCUGAAAUCAUCAUACAAACCUAUUGGAACCGUCAAAUCCCAAUUCCAAGGUCAUUUACUCAAAACGUUGAUCGAAGUCAAACUUAGCCUUUAAAGCCAAACCAUGGAACCAAGUGUUCCAUUUCAACCCGAACCCUUCCAAAUCCCGAACUAACCAUCCCCGCAAGUCAUAAAAUAGUAAAAGCACAUACUUGGAGUCUUAUUUUGGGGAAGAUGGUUUUAGAAAGCAAAACGACUGGUCGGGUCGUUACAUCAAUUAAUUGAUGUUGAAGUUAUUGGAAGGCAUUUAUCUAUUUUAAUUGAAGUUGUGAUUAAAUGGGGUGUUGUUCAUUUCUGAAUUACUUUCCCGUUCAUUAUGUUGUUAUUGAAAUUUUAUACAUAUUGUGUUUGAGCCUUGGGAUUUUUGUUGUAGAAAUAUUGAUAUUGUUGGUUCUUGUGGAAAGAUUGUGGCCUAUAGUAACUUGUGGUUUGAGUUGAUAUGUCGUGUUGUUGUGAUGUUAGCACAUGUGAAUUGUUGUGUGGAUUGGUUGUUGUUAUGCGAAACACAAGGGUGUCAUCUCAUUGUUGUUGAUAUGGAGGGCAUAAGAGUGGCAUCUCACUAUUGUUGAUUGUGCGGAGUGAUACGGGUGGCUAAUGAUAUUUUCAGGGCGGAGUGAUACGGGUGGCUAUCGAAGUGAGAAGGGUGGCUAAUGAUAUUGUCAGGGCGGAGUGAUACGGGUGGCUAUCGGAGAGAUAAGAGUGGAAAAUGUUAGGGAUGAGGUGUGAUGACCCGGGGGCAUUAUGUUGACGGUAUUCGUGUGUUAGUGUGAUUCUCCUUGUGUAUGUCAUACACCUUACGUGACUUGUUGUGCUGAUUUUAAUGAGCUACUCGAUGUCUUUGAUAUAACAUGUUGACUUGGGCUGUACUAGUACACUCGUACAAGCAUAAACCGUAGCAUGCCACUUAUACUAGUUCGAGAGAAUGAAACUUAAUAUUUAUUGAUCAUGCCCGUGUAUUCUUAUAUUAUUUGUUAUCAUGUUGAUAUUGAGAUAGUGACCAUGUCGGACAGAUUAUGAUAUUGAGUCUGUGACCAUGCCGGGUGGAUUGUGAUAGUGAGCAUGUGACUAUGUAAAGCGAAUUGUGAUUGUGAGCUUGUGAUGUUGCCAAGCGGAUUAGAAAAUUGGAGCGUGAGUUAUCCGUGCGGUUGUGAUUUGAAAUGUGGGCAUAAGGUACCGUGCGCAUAUGAUUUGUGGGUUGAUACUCUUGACUUGUGAUUAUGAGAUAAGGUGUCUCAGAGUAAUUUCAUUGAAACUCGUGUUAUAACGGCUUGAUUAAUUGGUUGUUAUUUGUUUUCUUUUUUGGUUUCAAUGGUACCUUCAUGGUGUUCUUAUUAAUUUACUGUUUAUAUCACACGUUGAUUCUUGUUGCCAUUUACUAAUCCCUGCUUUCAUUAUUAACGUUAUACUUAUAUACUGCACAAGUUAUUUUGACUAGUAGGUGUCUUGACUUGUACCUCGUGACUACUCCAUCUAGAAUAGUCUUGAUACUUAUUGGGUACCGAUCGUGGUGUGCCUAUACUAUACUUAUGCAUAUUUUUGUGCAGAUCCAAGUAUUGGAAAUAUCAGACCCAGGCAGAGUUAGCUUAUUGAUUGUAAGGAUUCAUGGUAGAGCUGCUUGGUCGUCGCAGUCCCUCAGAGUCCUUUCCUUUCAUUUUACUGUUAGUUUGUUAUUUGAACAAUAUUGUAUUUUGAUCUUUUAGAUCAUUCCUUGCAUUCAACUAGAGCUUGUGACUCUGUAUAUUACCUAGUCUUGGGAGGUUGUAGUGAUCAUUGCUGCGUAGGCGGAUUUCACAUUUAUUCAGUAUUUAUAUAAAUUUCUGAUUUAAAACAUCAUUGUUAAAUUGGCUUAAUUAUUGAAAGUAAUCGCCUUACCUAGUCUUAGAGACUAGAUGUACUUACGACACCUAAGGCAUGAUUUUGGGUCGUGACAAGUUUUCCCCUCACAAGGUUAGACAGGAUACUUACCUCGCUCCGAAAUUCCAUAACCGGCUCCAACGCCUCUUAAACACCUCAAACUGAUGCCUCAAAUCUGGAACUAAUCAAACAACAUGCAAACCAAUACAAAUAUACUCCAACACCCAUAAUUAAUCAAUUUAUAACAAUUCCCAACUCUACUAGAAAAGUCAACAAAGUCAACCCUCGGGCCCACGUGCCCGUAUUCUGAAUAUUUUCGAAGAUAUACAUUACCAUAACCCCACGAACUCAAAUAUAUAAUUUAUUCCAAAUUUCAUGUCCAAUUUCGUGGUCAAAAUCCAAAAUUACCAAUUCUAGAUUUCCUUCCAAAAUCCCAAAAUUCUUAGAAAAUCUCAUGUUUAAAUCUAUAUAUUAACCAUGUAUUUAACUCACAACAAGUGAGAAUCACUUACCUCUUGAUAGAUGAUGAAAAUGGCACUCAAAGAUCGCCCCUAAGGUUGGCUCCAAAGAGAGAAAUGAGAUGAAAUGAUCCAAAACCUGAUUUUUAAGAAGUGUUCUGCCCAACGACCCUUCUUCACGAUCGCGAUGGCCCACCAGCCUCGCCCAAGAAAUUACUCUUCGCGAAUGCGAGGUCCUUUCCACGAUAGCGAAGCACAGCCUACCCAGGCCUCCACGUACGUGAGCCUAUUAUCAUGAACGCGAAGGCCAAACAUAGCCGCAGCAGAUUCCUCUCCCGCGAUCGCAUGUGUCCUUCCAUGAUCGCGUAGCAUAAAUCUCCAAAACAAGCAUGCCUCCACAACCCACCACGUUCGUGACUCUUCCCACGUGAACGCGAAGAACAACCUGCUCCAGCUCCGCGAUCGUGACUCCCUUUACGCGAUUGCAAUGAACAAAAAUGCAACCUGUCCAGUUAGCCCUUCGCGAUUGUGACCACCCUUUUGCGAUCACGAUGCAUACCCAACACACCAGAAACUAGCAGUGAUAAAACAAGGGGAAUUUGUCCAAAACCAUCCUGAAACACACCCCAGGUCCCCGAGACCUCGUCCAAUCAUACCAAUAAGUUCCAAUACCUUAUCCGAACUUAUUUAACAGCUUGAAUCGCCGCGAAUAAUAUCAAAAUCACUAAUCGACGAUCAAAAUCCUCCUUUCAAAACAUUGACGAACGCGUCUGAAUUAUAUCUAAACAUUGCGAAAUGACGCCAAACUUCACGUACAUGUCACAAAUCAUGAUACGAAUCUAUUUUAAGGCUCGGAACUCCAAACAGACAUCGGUAACACCAAAGUCCACUUCAAAUCAAACAUACGAAAAUCUAAAACCUUUAAAAUGCCAACUUUCCAUAGGAAAUUCGAAACGCUCCCUGACUAUCCGAUACUCAACCCGAACAUACGCCCAAGUUCAAAAUCAUUAUAGGAACCUAUUGGAACCUUCAAAUCCUGAAUCCGAGGUCAUUUACUCAAAAGUCAAACAUUGGUCAACUCUUCCAACUUCAAGCUUCCUAAUUGGGAGUUUUCCUUUCGAAUCUACUUCGAACAUCACCGAAAUUCAAUUCCGACUACUCGUACAAGUCAUAAAGCAUAAAGUGAAAUUACUCAAGGGCUCAAACUACCGAACGAUGCCUUAAAGCUCAAAACGACCGAACGGGUCGUUACACAUCAAUUUCUUGUGGAUCUAACUGUUCGAUAAAUUAAUAAUAACUAUCACUAUCAUAUAUGAAGAAACAAGAGACUCUAGCUAAUUCUGGUUCCAAAUUCUUU